rnacentral:rRNA from 1 species
AGAAUCAACGCUGGCGGCGUGCCUAACACAUGCAAGUCGAACGAGAAAGUGGAGCAAUCCAUGAGUAAAGUGGCGACCGGGUGAGUAACACGUGACUACCUACCCUUGAGUGGGGGAUAACCUCGGGAAACCGAGGCUAAUACCGCAUAAUAUCGAAAGAUCAAAGGAGUAAUCCGCUUUUGGAGGGGGUCGCGGCUGAGUUAGCUAGUUGGUAGGGUAAUGGCCUACCAAGGCGAAGAUCGGUA